rnacentral:lncRNA from 1 species
ACUUCCUGGGUCGAGUGGGGACUUGGAGAACUUUUCUGUCUGAAGGAUUGUAAAUGCACCAAUCAGCACUCUGUAAAAAUGCACUCCCUGUGAGGGACGUGCAUUUCAGCGAGGUCAUCAGUCAGUGUGGUCAUCAGUCAGCGUGGUCAUCAGUCACCCUGGUCAUCAGUCACUGUGGUCAUCUCGCCUGCUGGGACCCACAUUCUCAUAUUUUAGACUGGGCCCCAGUUCUGCAGGUGUAGCCAUGUAGAGCUUGUGAGAAUUUAGGUAUGAAAAUCAGGCUGCCAGACCCACCCCUUGAGGGCCUGGCUUGCCUGAGCAAUUUCCCGGCUGCAGCCCCUGCGGCUGCUCUGGUACCAUAACAACCCUUGCCUGCCUAUGUCAAGGGGCAUCCUGAAACCCAAGGCAGGGAGACACUCCCUGUCCUAGGGUGUAGGCAACCUUAUGUAGAACCCUUCCAUGGUCCUGACCAUCUGUAGCAGACACAAAGGAAGCUUCCCAGGCCUUCCAGCCUGGAAUCUGUAGUUUUCUUACUCCCUGGAGCUGCCUUCAACACAGGGCCUGCCUCGUGAUUUCAGAUUCUGUUACUUGGUCUUUUCUCUCUGAUCCAACCUGACUUCCAGGGCACCAAUCUUAGUUUUCUUCUACAGAUUUCAACAUUCCCCUGGUAGAGACUCCCAACCUGAUGCUAUGUGCUGUGUCCUGUACCUACCCCACCUUUGGUUGCCAUUCUGACCCACUGAAGCCCAGGGCCUGACACUGACCUGGAGAUGGGCUACGGGGCUCUUAUGAAUCACAAGAUGUCUGUUUUAUUUUCUAAGCCUUCUAUACAUUCUGAUACCAUUUUUUAAAGAAAAAGAAUAAGAUUAAAAUAUAAAGUAUUGAUUUAAGCAUAGAAAGCGAAGAAAGCAUACUAAACCUGAAAGUUUGAAUAAAAAUAUAAGCUCAAGAAGAGUUUAUAUAAACCUGUGACUACUUUCUCCCAUCUCCCGU